rnacentral:misc_RNA from 1 species
UUGUCGGUACAGAAAGAUUAUCGUGAUGUAAUUGCGCAUCUGACACGAGCAUAUUGUCGACGUACACUGAUAUCGUGUGUCGGAAACCGCGUGGAAGAAGUACAAACGAAACAACGCAGGCUCGUUGACAUUUCUGCAAUUUCACACGUUUUUUACCACGAUUCGCGGCUAAGCAAAUUAACUGUGCAAUUAUCGCCGCGUUCUCUUAUGCUGCUGGCGAAAUUAAGUCCUCCGCUCUUUCUAUGUAUCUUGCAAAUCGACAGAAUGCUAAUGGUUCGCGCAGAAGAUACAGUCGCGUAACGCGUUUUACUGAAAUAUACCAGCAUAUGAGCAUUGUAACAUCCACGGAAGGAAAGGAAAGGGAAAAAGAAGUGAAGGGAAGGAGAGAAGACGCCUGGAGACGCGGUAGCCGAAGGCAUCCUCCGUAUCUUCUUCUGAAAUGGCAAGGUCACCGGUAGUUACGUCACUAACUUUCCUCGGCUCUUCUCGGCGUUGUACGCGCGCCGAGAAAAGCAAAUGUCACAAUUACCAAGGACGCACGGCCGCGUGUACGUUGCCUCGAGGCUUCGACUUCGACGACCAAACGAGCUAGGGGGGUAGGUAUUGGCUGGUUCGCAGAUUCGGCUUUCACAUUCGGUUGUAAGGCAACAGGUAGCCGCGGUUUCUACGCCUUUGUCUAUCCGAUGAGUCUCCGGCAAUCAUUCGGGUUAUGAAAUCGCUAACAUCUU